rnacentral:lncRNA from 1 species
CGGCACUGGUGGCAGCUCAGGCCCGGGGGGAUUUUCCGGCACUGGUGGCUGUUCAGGCACCGGGGGGAUUUUCCGGCACUGGUGGCUGCUCAGGCACGGGGGGAUUUUCCGGCACUGGUGGCAGCUCAGGCACGGUGGGCUUUUCCGGCACUGGUGGCAGCUCAGGCUUGGGUCGAGUCGGAACGUUGGGCCGCAGUGGGAGCUUGGGCUUAGGAAGUGUUGAGAUGGUCGGAUGCGACAGGGACUCCACCUCUGGAGUUUCCAACAGAUGGCGGGCUUGGCAGUUGCUAAGGAACAAGAGUGCAAUGAAGAUGGACAAGGAGGAGAGGGAAGUGUUUGAAGCCAUGGUAAGAACUCCAAGGCCUUGGUAAGCUGUUAAAAGAUCAGAGGAGUGAAAGGAGGCUCGAGUCUGUGAUAAGGAGAACGGACCAAUGCUUUGAUAUUUAUAGCUGCGGGAGUUGAUGGAGUUCGUUGG